rnacentral:rRNA from 1 species
AUUGAACGCUGGCGGCAGGCUUAACACAUGCAAGUCGAGCGGAGCGAGGGUGCUUGCACCUUAGCUUAGCGGCGGACGGGUGAGUAAUGCUUAGGAAUCUGCCUAUUAGUGGGGGACAACAUUCCGAAAGGGAUGCUAAUACCGCAUACGCCCUACGGGGGAAAGCAGGGGAUCUUCGGACCUUGCGCUAAUAGAUGAGCCUAAGUCGGAUUAGCUAGUUGGUGGGGUAAAGGCCUACCAAGGCGACGAUCUGUAGCGGGUCUGAGAGGAUGAUCCGCCACACUGGGACUGAGACACGGCCCAGACUCCUACGGGAGGCAGCAGUGGGGAAUAUUGGACAAUGGGCGGAAGCCUGAUCCAGCCAUGCCGCGUGUGUGAAGAAGGCCUUUUGGUUGUAAAGCACUUUAAGCGAGGAGGAGGCUACUAGUAUUAAUACUACUGGAUAGUGGACGUUACUCGCAGGAUAAGCACCGGCUAACUCUGUGCCAGCAGCCGCCGUAA